rnacentral:rRNA from 1 species
AGUCGAACGAAGCACUUUGGACAGAUUCUUCGGAUGAAGUCUUUGGUGACUGAGUGGCGGACGGGUGAGUAACGCGUGGGUAACCUGCCUCAUACAGGGGGAUAACAGUUAGAAAUGGCUGCUAAUACCGCAUAAGCGCACGGUACCGCAUGGUACAGUGUGAAAAACUCCGGUGGUAUGAGAUGGACCCGCGUUGGAUUAGCUAGUUGGCAGGGUAACGGCCUACCAAGGCGACGAUCCAUAGCCGGCCUGAGAGGGUGGACGGCCACAUUGGGACUGAGACACGGCCCAGACUCCUACGGGAGGCAGCAGUGGGGAAUAUUGCACAAUGGGGG